AAUAGUUUUAUGCCACAUCAGUAUUCUUAUCCUGAAUUUUAGUAUUUUAAUUUGGAUUUGAUUUUUUUCAAGAUAAAAUCCUGAAAUUCAGGAUAAGAAUACUGAUGUGGCAUAAAACUAUU
rnacentral:pre_miRNA from 1 species